rnacentral:rRNA from 1 species
GACGAACGCUGGCGGCGUGCUUAACACAUGCAAGUCGAACGGAAAGGCCCUGCUUUUGUGGGGUGCUCGAGUGGCGAACGGGUGAGUAACACGUGAGUAACCUGCCCUUGACUUUGGGAUAACUUCAGGAAACUGGGGCUAAUACCGGAUAGGAGCUCCUGCUGCAUGGUGGGGGUUGGAAAGUUUCGGCGGUUGGGGAUGGACUCGCGGCUUAUCAGCUUGUUGGUGGGGUAGUGGCUUACCAAGGCUUUGACGGGUAGCCGGCCUGAGAGGGUGACCGGCCACAUUGGGACUGAGAUACGGCCCAGACUCCUACGGGAGGCAGCAGUGGGGAAUAUUGCACAAUGGGCGGAAGCCUGAUGCAGCAACGCCGCGUGCGGGAUGACGGCCUUCGGGUUGUAAACCUCUUUCGCCUGUGACGAAGCGUGAGUGACGGUACUGGGUAAAGAAGCACCGGCUAACUACGUG